CUGGUUAAAUGGAGUGAGAAACGCAGACAUUGUCCAUACUGCAAUCCUUGCGAUGUGAGAAGAGGAAACAGGUUUAGCACCAAUUUAAACAUCCCAAGACACUGCUAUGGCAAGUCUGCAGUCCUGGUCAAUGGGAGGUUUUUGUUCAUUCGAUGUCAUGAAUUGCAGUUGCCUCAGGAUGUCUUCUGUGCUGCUGCUUUUCUUGAGACUCAUAGCAUCGCCUGGAGCCUGCUGAGACUUCCUCCAAAAGAGGCAGCAAGGAGAACUCACUGGUUGUGAGUUCUGGAUCUAUACUUCUUACAACUGAGCUUUGUAGUUUUCUCGUCAGGCUUCAGGUAAACCUGACAGAAUUGAGAACUGUCCUGAAUUACUCAAGUUGUAACCAACGUGAGACAGCAGCAUGGGGCCUUGUGGGGCCAGGGGAAUAAGUCCAGAGGACUGAGGCUGCAAAACU